GAUGGACGCUGGCGGCGUGCCUAACACAUGCAAGUCGAACGGAGUUGAGUGCUUCGGUAUUCAACUUAGUGGCAAACGGGUGAGUAACGCGUGAGGAACCUGCCUUUCAGUGGGGGACAACAGUUGGAAACGACUGCUAACACCGCAUGAUACUUUUGGGGGCAUCCCUGAAAAGUACAAAGAUUUAUUGCUGAAAGAUGGCCUCGCGCCUGAUUAGCUAGUUGGCGGGGUAACGGCCCACCAAGGCGACGAUCAGUAGCCGGUCUGAGAGGAUGAACGGCCACAUUGGGACUGAGAUACGGCCCAGACUCCUACGGGAGGCAGCAGUGGGGAAUAUUGGGCAAUGGGGGAAACCCUGACCCAGCAACGCCGCGUGAAGGAAGAAGGCCCUCGGGUUGUAAAACUUCUUUUACCAAGGGACGAAGGACGUGAACGGUACCUGGAGAAAAAAGCAACGGCUAACUACGUGCCAGCAGCCGCCGCAGU
rnacentral:rRNA from 1 species